UCACUUUCAACAACGGAUCUCUUGGUUCUCGCAUCGAUGAAGAACGUAGCAAAGUGCGAUGAGUAGUGUGAAUUGCAGAAUUCCGUGGAUCAUCGAAUUUUUGAACGCAAAUUGCACUCCUCGAUUUCGAAGAGUAUGCCUGUUUGAGGGUCC
rnacentral:rRNA from 1 species